rnacentral:rRNA from 1 species
CCCCUAGAUGUUCUGGGCCGCACGCGCGCUACACUGAACAGUUCAACAAGUCUUAACCUUGGCCGAUAGGUCUGGGUAAUCUUUGAACGCUGUUCGUGAUUGGGAUAGACCUUUGCAAUUAUGGGUCUUCAACGAGGAAUUCCUAGUAAACGCAAGCCAUCAGCUUGCAUUGAUUACGUCCCUGCCCUUUGUACACACCGCCCGUCGCACCUACCGAUUGAAUGGUCCGGUGAAAUCUCGGGACGGCGGCUCGGUCGCUUGCGUCCGACUGCUGAAACUUGAUUAAACCAUAUCAUUUAGAGGAAGGUGAAGUCGUAACA